CCUACGGGAGGCUGCAGUGAGGAAUAUUGGUCAAUGGGCGAGAGCCUGAACCAGCCAAGUCGCGUGAGGGAGUACUGCCCUAUGGGUUGUAAACCUCUUUUGUCGGGGAGCAAAAGCCGGACGUGUCCGGCUGUGAGAGUACCCGAAGAAAAAGCAUCGGCUAACACCGUGCCAGCAGCCGCGGUAAUACGGAGGAUGCGAGCGUUAUCCGGAUUUAUUGGGUUUAAAGGGGGCGAAGGCGGAUUUUUAAGUCAGCGGUAAAAUCGUGGGGCUCAACCCCAUCCAGCCGUUGAAACUGGGGAUCUAGAGUGUGCGAGAGGUAUGCGGAAUGCGUGGUGUAGCGGUGAAAUGCAUAGAUAUCACGCAGAACCCCGAUUGCGAAGGCAGCAUACCGGUGCACAACUGACGCUCAGGCACGAAAGCGUGGGUAUCGAACAGGAUUAGAUACCCCAGUAGUC
rnacentral:rRNA from 1 species